rfam:Nicotiana sylvestris Nsyl_contig75411, whole genome shotgun sequence.
UUAAGGUGUGAUGAUGCUUAUCCACCUUAUCUGUAGAGUUCAAUGAUGAAUUCUAAAACAUGCACUACCAACUGAUCUUAU